rnacentral:rRNA from 1 species
GACGAACGCUGGCGGCGUGCUUAACACAUGCAAGUCGAACGGAAAGGCCCUGCUUUUGUGGGGUGCUCGAGUGGCGAACGGGUGAGUAACACGUGAGUAGCCUGCCCUUGACUUUGGGAUAACUUCAGGAAACUGGGGCUAAUACCGGAUAGGAGCUCCUGCUGCAUGGGGGGGGUUGGAAAGUUUCGGCGGUUGGGGAUGGACUCGCGGCUUAUCAGCUUGUUGGUGGGGUAGUGGCUUACCAAGGCUUUGACGGGUAGCCGGCCUGAGAGGGUGACCGGCCACAUUGGGACUGCGAUACGGCCCAGACUCCUACGGGAGGCAGCAGUGGGGAAUAUUGCACAAUGGGCGGAAGCCUGAUGCAGCAACGCCGCGUGCGGGAUGACGGCCUUCGGGUUGUAAACCGCUUUCGCCUGUGACGAAGCGUGAGUGACGGUAAUGGGUAAAGAAGCACCGGCUAACUACGUG